GAAAGCGUAAUAGCUCACUGGUCGAGUCGGCCUGCGCGGAAGAUGUAACGGGGCUAAACCAUGCACCGAAGCUGCGGCAGCGAACGUAUCACUUAAAGCGAUUCAGCGGGUUACGAUUGACGGAGCGAAGCGACGUCAAAGCGUAUACAAAGUCGAGUCGGUUUAAGGAUACGUUCGUUGGGUAGGGGAGCGUUCUGUAAGCCUGUGAAGGUG
rnacentral:rRNA from 1 species